AGACCCGAAACCCGGUGAUCUAGCCAUGGGCAGGUUGAAGGUUGGGUAACACUAACUGGAGGACCGAACCGACUAAUGUUGAAAAAUUAGCGGAUGACCUGUGGCUGGGGGUGAAAGGCCAAUCAAACCGGGAGAUAGCUGGUUCUCCCCGAAAGCUAUUUAGGUAGCGCCUCGUGAAUUCAUCUCCGGGGGUAGAGCACUGUUUCGGCUAGGGGGCCAUCCCGGCUUACCAACCCGAUGCAAACUGCGAAUACCGGAGAAUGUUAUCACGGGAGACACACGGCGGGUGCUAACGUCCGUCGUGAAGAGGGAAACAACCCAGACCGCCAGCUAAGGUCCCAAAGUCAUGGUUAAGUGGGAAACGAUGUGGGAAGGCCCAGACAGCCAGGAUGUUGGCUUAGAAGCAGCCAUCAUUUAAAGAAAGCGUAAUAGCUCACUGGUCGAGUCGGCCUGCGCGGAAGAUGUAACGGGGCUAAACCAUGCACCGAAGCUGCGGCAG
rnacentral:rRNA from 8 species